GGCAACAUGGCCGAGUGGUCUAAGGCGCUGGAAUUAGGAUCCAGUCUUUCGAGGCGAGGGUUCGAAUCCCUCUGUUGUCA
rnacentral:tRNA from 1 species